rnacentral:rRNA from 1 species
AUACGGAGGGUGCUAGCGUUGCUCGGAAUUACUGGGCUUAAAGCGCGUGUAGGCGGAGUAUCAGGUGUCUUGUGAAAUCCCCGGGCUCAACCCGGGAACUGCUGGGCAAACCGGUACUCUUGAGGCAAGGAGAGGUGAGUGGAACAACUGGUGGAGCGGUGAAAUGCGUCGAUAUCAGUUGGAACGCCGGAGGGGAAAGCGGCUCACUGGGCUUGUUAUGACGCUGAGACGCGAAAGCGUGGGUAGCAAACAGGAUUAGAAACCCCAGUAGUCC